GGGGAACCAGGACUUUUACUUUGAAAAAAUUAGAGUGCUCCAGGCAGGCCUAUGCUCGAAUACAUUAGCAUGGAAUAAUAGAAUAGGACGUGUGGUUCUAUUUUGUUGGUUUCUAGGACCGCCGUAAUGAUUAAUAGGGACAGUCGGGGGCAUCAGUAUUCAAUUGUCAGAGGUGAAAUUCUUGGAUCUAUUGAAGACUAACUACUGCGAAAGCAUUUGCCAAGGAUGUUUUCAUUGAUAAGGAACGAAAGUUAGGGGAUCGAAGACGAUCAGAUACCGUCGUAGUCUUAACUAUAAACUAUGCCGACUAGGGAUCGGACGAUGUUAUCUUUUGACGCGUUCGGCACCUUUCGAGAAAUCAAAGUGCUUGGGCUCCAGGGGGAGUAUGGUCGCAAGGCUGAAACUUAAAGAAAUUGACGGAAGGGCACCACCAGGGGUGGAACCUGCGGCUUAAUUUGACACAACACGGGGAAACUCACCAGGUCCAGACACAGUGAGGAUUGACAGAUUGAGAGCUCUUUCUUGAUUCUGUGGGUGGUGGUGCAUGGCCGUUCUUAGUUGGUGGAGUGAUUUGUCUGCUUAAUUGCGAUAACGAACGAGACCU
rnacentral:rRNA from 1 species